rnacentral:rRNA from 1 species
AUUGAACGCUGGCGGCAUGCUUUACACAUGCAAGUCGAACGGUAACAGGCCGCAAGGUGCUGACGAGUGGCGAACGGGUGAGUAAUGCAUCGGAACGUGCCCAGUCGUGGGGGAUAACGCAGCGAAAGCUGCGCUAAUACCGCAUACGAUCUCUGGAUGAAAGCGGGGGACCGAAAGGCCUCGCGCGAUUGGAGCGGCCGAUGUCAGAUUAGGUAGUUGGGGGGGUAAAGGCCCACCAAGCCAACGAUCUGUAGCUGGUCUGAGAGGACGACCAGCCACACUGGGACUGAGACACGGCCCAGACUCCUACGGGAGGCAGCAGUGGGGAAUUUUGGACAAUGGGCGCAAGCCUGAUCCAGCAAUGCCGCGUGCAGGAAGAAGGCCUUCGGGUUGUAAACUGCUUUUGUACGGAACGAAACGGUCUGGGUUAAUACCCUGGGCUAAUGACGGUACCGUAAGAAUAAGCACCGGCUAACUACGUGCCAGCCGCCGCAGUAACAC